UUAAUACUCCCUCCGUCCCAAAAUUCUUGUCUUAGAUUAGUCUAGAUACGGAUGUAUCUAAUACUAAAACGUGACUUGAUACAUCCGUAUUUAGACAAAUUUAAGACAAGAAUUUUGGGACGGAGGGAGUAUAUA
rnacentral:pre_miRNA from 1 species